rnacentral:rRNA from 1 species
GCCUCAUACAUGCAAGUCGACGUGAACCGGGGCUGCGACACCGUGGAAAGUGGCGAUCGGGUGCGUAAGAAAAGAGCAACCUGCCCCGAAGACCGGGAUAACCCGAGGAAACUCUUGCCAAUACCGGAUGUCCUCACCGAACCGCAUGGCUUGGUGAGGAAAUGGAUUCCGCUUCGGGAUGGGCUCGCGGUCUAUCAGCUUGUUGGUGGGGUAACGGCCCACCAAGGCGACGACGGGUAGCUGGUCUGAGAGGACGACCAGCCACACUGGGACUGAGAUACGGCCCAGACUCCUACGGGAGGCAGCAGUGGG